CUGAGACUGAAUACCCAGUAGUAUCAAGUUUAAGAAAAUAUUAUAGAAAUGUAGCUAAUAGUAUUUCUAACAAUUUAGCCUGGGAUUUUAAAUUAUAUAAUGGUUUGUGAUAUACUUAGAAAAAGUACAGGUCCUUUGGCUCAUAAUGUCAUGCCGAAUUUUUACGUUCUCCAAGAUCAAUCUAACCCUUCCCCCACCACAUAGCUCUCCACUUUUCUUUCACCAUGUGCCUAUCCAAGAAUCUUUUAAAUAUCCCUAAUGUGUCUGCUUCCACCACCAUGCCCAGCAGUGUGUUCCAUGUACUUACCACUCUCAAUGUGGAAAAACAUAGACAUACCUUCUUCCAACGGCCUUAAAAAUAUGUCCUCUCAUAUUAGUCAUUGGCACACUAGAGAAAAGAUGCUGUCGAUCCACUCAAUCUAUGCCUCUUGUCAUCUUGUACACCUCUCAAGUUGCCUCUUAUCCUCCUUUGUUCCAAAGAGCUCCUAGUUCACUGAACCUUUCCUCAUAAAAUUUGUUCAUUAAUCUUUCAUAAGAACUUAAUUCCUCAUUUCUAAGAUUGUUAUUCCUUCAGUCCUCUGACAGAUUACUAAACUUGAUUUUGCUACAGUAGGCACACCUGACACUGAUUUGACAAUCGUGACACAGUACUCUGAUCACCGGGUUUAGGAAGUUAUUACCCCCGAACCAACAGGGUCUUGAACCAAAGAGGAUAACUUCACUCAACUUCAGUUGCUGCAUCAUUAAAAUAUUUCCACAAUCUUUGCACUCACUUUCCAGGACUCUUCAUCUCAUAUUCUUGCUAUUUGUUGCUUAUUUAUUUAUUAUUAUUUCUUCCUUUUUGCACUUACACAGUUUGUGUUCUUUUGCAUACUGGUUGGUGUGGCCCUUCAUUGAUUCCUUUAUGGUUUAUUGAAUAUGCCUGCAAGAAAAUGCAUCUCAGGGUUUUAUAUGGUGACAUAAAUCUACUUUGGUAAUAAAUUUACUUCCAACUUUGGAAAAAGCACAUUCAAAAAACACCAGCAUUGUGUGAUGUAAAAUAGUUGCAGGGAACAUUAGUGUCAAACUGCACUAAUCAAUCAAUUUUGCUUUAUUCAGUCCAUCAAUGAUUGCAUUGAAUCACACAACCUUCCCUCCUACACCAUCUGCUGAUGUGCUGCAUUGGGGAUCAACAGGAAGGAAAUGGAUGUUCAUCAAGUCUAUUGAUAAAUAUCUCUCAUUCAAUUUGCUUUCAAAGCACCAAGCUGUUGACUUGUGAAAUAUGUGCCAGUGCAGAACAAGCUGUGCAUGAAUUGCAAGGUGACUGAAGGAGAGAACUUCGCAAUUAAUAUAGGAACUUGCCUCUCUGCAGUUGAGAUUGAUCAGCAGUCAAAGACUGUGUUUUACCAUUGUUUUAACUAUGUGGAGAAAUUGUAUCAAAGAAGCUAAUUCUUCUGCCAGCUGUAAACUUUAUGUUUGAACAGUCUUGACCUUCAGUGCAGGUAAGGCAUCAAAUUUAAGGGCAAUGUCCAAUCUUUGUCAGGCCAUUCCCAAU